rnacentral:SRP_RNA from 1 species
GCCAGGUGCCGUGGUGGGCGCCUGUAAUCCCAGCUACUCCGGAGGCUGAGGCAGGAGAAUCACUUGAACCUGGGAGGUGCGAGUGUUGCAGUGACAUGAGAUCAUGCCAUUGCACUCCAUCCUGGGCGACAGAGUGAGACUCUGUCUCCA